GUGUGUCCAAGGACCUUAAAGUGGUUACAAAUGAAGUUUGGCAGUGAAGCCAGUUUACAGAUAUGUAAUCUGUGAAUGAGAUCAACUGUACUUUAUUGUGGAUUGAUAAAAUCUCUGAUAUUGAGGAGGAGCAGAAAAGCAAAGAAUUUGUGACACGGUAGACUUUGUUAAAUUUUAUUUAAGGGCUUGACAUUUGCAUUUAAGGCAGCCGUAAGUUUUUAUUCAUUGCAUUAUACGACUCCAACAAGCCUGUCCAGCCACCCCCAUGGUGCUUUGCACGUUCAAGAUUUCACCCGAACUGAUGAAACCCUUUCCCAAAUAUUUUGUAGGUUCCCUGUGCUUUUUAGAUGCACUUUCCCUUCUCGCUCACUCUUCCAUUCAGCAGAAACUUGCUAAACACCUUCUCUGUCCUGGGCACUGUACCAGGUGUGGAAGAUAAGCUCGCCUUGCGGCGCUCGAUUCUCUUGCAGCCUUGCACCUUGGGGGUGUUUAGUAAAUGCCGCCUCAACACAAAGGAUGCCACAUAUUUUACAGAAUAAAAUGGAACGGGAGCAGUCGCCCAGUUAAUUGAGAUUUCAACACAAAUACUUGAGACAAGUUUUCAUUGUUUUUAGUGUCCAAUUAUUACCAUUAUGGACUCACUCAUCUUGCAUCAUCCUCCAUAAUUUUUCUCAUACAUUUAAAAUACAAAAUAAGGUCUUAAAAAGAUGUAAAAUGCCAACAGGUGAGGCUUUAGGGGAGAAAAUACCUAAAGGUGAUUGGGGUGGGGGUGGUGGUGGUGAAGGAGGGCUGCGCCUAGGAGAGAGCUGUGUGGGAAAUGGGGCUGAUGAGAAAUGCCUGGGGCAGGUACCCGAGAGUCGGACGCUCAAUUCCAACUUGUCACUUUUACGUAAACCAGACCUUCCAGCAUGAGGCAGCUUUGCACAAUGAUGGUAUGGCGUGCGGGUAGGUUAGUGAGGGAAGUACUGCCUGUUCUCCCGCCAGAUCCCAGCACUCUCAGAGGCUGAGGGUUCUAGGAAUUCAUGGUGAGUUAAGUAGCUGCGGUGAGGAACUAGCUCAGCAGGGCCUGGGGCAACGUGCAUUAGAGGGGCAUUUGGGAGGUAAUUGGGUCAUGAGGGUAGGGCCCUCAUGAAUGGGAUUAGUGAGCUUAUAAAAGGGACUACAGAGAGCUCUGUCGCUCUUUCUGCCAUGUAAGGAUACAAGAAGUCCGUAGUUUAUAACCCAGAAGAGGGCCCUCAUCAGAACCUGACCACAGUGUCACCUUGAUCUUGGACCUCCAGACUACAGAACUGAGAAAUAAGUUUCUGUUGCUUAUAAGCCAUCAGUCUACAGUACCUUGUUAUAGUAGCUUAAACUAAGACAACUGAUUUUCUUUCUUUUUUUUUUUUUUGAGACAGAGUCUUGCCCUGUCGCUUAGGAUGGAUGUGGUGGCAUGCCAUCUCAGCUCACUGCAACCUCUGCCUCUCGGGUUCAAGUGAUUCUGAUGCCUCAGCCUCCUGAGUAGUUGGGAUUACAGGUGUGCGCCACCACACCCAGCUAAUUUUUUGUAUUUUUAUUAGAGAUGGGGUUUCGCUCGGUUGGCCAGGCUGGUCUCAAACUCCUGGCCUGAAGUGAUACGCCCACCUCUGCCUCCCAAAGUGCUGGGGUGACAGGUGUGAGCCACUGCACCUGGCCUUGAUUUUCAAUGAAUACUCUCUACUUAACAUAAAAUUCUAGGUGUCACAGUUAUCUAAAGGGAUGAAAACAGAGCACUUCCUAAUCAUAGAAAAUUCUCCAGAUUGUGAUUUAAAACUUUUAGCAGAAUCUUAGAAUUUCUAAAGACUGCAGGAAAGUGCCUAAGACAAGGCAGGAUUAUGAAAGCCAUUAUCACUUUCUAGCCUACAGUAAUGCUGGAUAAGAUAGAUAGAAUAUGACCUGCCUAAGUUUGAAAACCGGAACUUUAAGCAUUGUACGUUCUCAUAUAAUACAUUCUCAAUAUAAUAUCUGGCAUUUAGAAGCUUGGCUGCUGACUGAUACAUGAAUCAUGCUAGAAAAUAUGCAUUUUUGAUCUUUU
rnacentral:lncRNA from 1 species